GGAUCUUCAUUAGCUUGCUUUUGAAGAUCAGCGGCGGACGGGUGAGUAACACGUGGGCAACCUGCCUGUAAGACUGGGAUAACUUCGGGAAACCGGAGCUAAUACCGGAUAAUCCUUUCCCUCUCAUGAGGGAAAGCUGAAAGACGGUUUCGGCUGUCACUUACAGAUGGGCCCGCGGCGCAUUAGCUAGUUGGUGAGGUAACGGCUCACCAAGGCAACGAUGCGUAGCCGACCUGAGAGGGUGAUCGGCCACACUGGGACUGAGACACGGCCCAGACUCCUACGGGAGGCAGCAGUAGGGAAUCUUCCGCAAUGGACGAAAGUCUGACGGAGCAACGCCGCGUGAACGAUGAAGGCCUUCGGGUCGUAAAGUUCUGUUGUCAGGGAAGAACAAGUAYCGGAGUAACUGCCGGUACCUUGACGGUACCUGACCAGAAAGCCACGGCUAACUACGUGCCAGCAGCCGCGGUAAUACGUAGGUGGCAAGCGUUGUCCGGAAUUAUUGGGCGUAAAGCGCGCGCAGGCGGUUCCUUAAGUCUGAUGUGAAAGCCCCCGGCUCAACCGGGGAGGGUCAUUGGAAACUGGGGAACUUGAGUGCAGAAGAGGAGAGCGGAAUUCCACGUGUAGCGGUGAAAUGCGUAGAGAUGUGGAGGAACACCAGUGGCGAAGGCGGCUCUCUGGUCUGUAACUGACGCUGAGGCGCGAAAGCGUGGGGAGCGAACAGGAUUAGAUACCCUGGUAGUCCACGCCGUAAACGAUGAGUGCUAAGUGUUAGAGGGUUUCCGCCCUUUAGUGCUGCAGCAAACGCAUUAAGCACUCCGCCUGGGGAGUACGGCCGCAAGGCUGAAACUCAAAGGAAUUGACGGGGGCCCGCACAAGCGGUGGAGCAUGUGGUUUAAUUCGAAGCAACGCGAAGAACCUUACCAGGUCUUGACAUCCUCUGACAACCCUAGAGAUAGGGCGUUCCCCUUC
rnacentral:rRNA from 1 species